rnacentral:rRNA from 1 species
GAUGAACGCUGGCGGCGUGCUUAACACAUGCAAGUCGAACGGUGAAGCAGGAGCUUGCUCCUGUGGAUCAGUGGCGAACGGGUGAGUAACACGUGAGCAAUCUGCCCUGGACUCUGGGAUAAGCGUUGGAAACGACGUCUAAUACCGGAUACGAGGCGUGGGGGCAUCCCCACCGCCUGGAAAGAACUUCGGUCCAGGAGGACCUCGCGGCCUAUCAGCUAGUUGGGGAGGUAACGGCGCACCAAGCCUACGACGGGUAGCCGGCCUGAGAGGGUGACCUGCCACACUGGGACUGGGACACGGCCCAGACUCCUACGGGAGGCAGCAGUGGGGAAUAUUGCGCAAUGGACGAAAGUCUGACGCAGCGACGCCGCGUGUGGGAUGAAGGGGCUACGCCCUGUAAACCACUGUUAGAUGUGAAAAAAAGAUAGCUUUGCUGUCCGGGAUUGUAACAUCAAAGAAAGGACCGGCUAACUACGUGCCAGCCGCCGCGGUAAUAC